rnacentral:lncRNA from 1 species
UUUUGAAGCAAUUUAAAAUACAGUGCCGAUGUCUUCUUUAUUAUCAUACCUAAAGAGUAAAGAUAUUCGGCUUCGCCUCCUAUUUUAUAUCUGAUAAAACACUGCUGAUCAUGUAUUAAAUAGUACUAAAAAACUCAUUUAGAUAAACUUUAAGUUACUGAAUUUUCUCACCAAAUAUCAUUCAUUGAAUAUUUAAAAUUGUUGAAGAAUAAGAAUGUUCUCAAACGUUUGAUCACAAGUCAUACGAAGUAUCGCGUACAUGCUGUUACAUUGUUGUCCCAGACAUACACGUACCUCUUGUCUUUGGCUCAAGUUUGUACAUUUGAUACAACACGGCCGCUCAUGCUUUAUCUAGAUUGUAGACAUAAAAUUUACAUCCGCAGUGCGUGUUUUAUCAGACUUAUAAAAGAUACUCGGCUUCGCCUAUAGUACUUCAAACUUUUGAAGACCAUGCAUGUCAAGUCCGCGUAAUGUAGAUAAAUCCUUCGACGCUUUGUUUAUAUUUUGGACUGCUAUAUAUUUGUAAGAUAAGACAUACUAUUAACUAAAUAUCUAACAGUUUUCUGGUUCGCUAUUGUAAAUGAAUAUAAAUUAGAGUACGUUUCAAUUCAAAACAGUUCGAAAAAUGCAAAAUUUGGGCAAUAUUUAUUUCUGUGGGUCGCCCUUUGUUAUGAACAGAACUGAUGUGCAGAACGAACUUGACAAGGUCUUUAAACAUUAAAAAAAUCCAAAUAUAUAUCAAAAUCAAAAAAUCAAAAAAUAAAAAAAUCAAAAAAUUAAAAAAAUAAAAAAAGACAAAAAUAAAAAAAUAAAAAAAUAAAAAAAUACAAAAAUAAAAAAAUACAAAAAUCAAAAAAUCUAAAAAUACAAAAACUGUUUUUUGCUGUCGCGUCUGGGCCGCCGUACAAUAGUAUUAUAUGUUUUAUCGUUCUGCCUUUAAACCUGCAACGAACUGUCAGAACUCACUGACACAUUCCAACAGUCUGCAUUUACAAUCUAAAUCAUUCUGACCAUUUUUACUCCGGGUACUGUAAGUACCGGAGUAUUAAAAUGUCAGAUCUUUUUUCUUAGGCGACACAAGUGUGCACUUCCACAGGUGCACCGUACGCAGCGCACGCAACGCACUACAAAAAUACGAAAUAUCUAAAAAUAGCCGCCAUUCGUAGUAAGGUCGGAGAGACCGUUGUGUUUACAAUAUAUUUAGUUCUAUUUACAGUAAAUAUUAUCAAAUGGAGGGGUUCUCAUACACUCGUUUUUAUACAGUGACCACAGUUCAUGUAAAUACAGAUCGAAAUUCGAGACUUCCUCGCGUGUUUAGUAGCGGGUGCCGUUAUUGCAAAGCUAUAGUUCUGAUCGACAAAUGGCUUGGUUCGUUACUUACGUUAGCCCGGCAUUUUUUAAUUUUGUCAACACUGUACGUAGUUAAAUUGUGUUGUCACUCGUGUUCUUUAAGUUUCCCUUUGUAGUUUGUGCCUCGUUUCCAAAAUUGAAGUACAAACAACGCACAAAUCUAUUCGACAUAUGACAUAUCUGAAAGUCUUCGAUUCGCGAGGCAAUUUAUAUCGCAAACCACAAC